GAGAGGUUGGCCAAGGGGAGCCAGGAGACUCACAGGAGGAAAUGUCAUUUGGAUACCAGGAAUGUGUCUGAGAUCCAGAGCAAAUAUUUGUUUUUCCUCUGAUGCCCUCCUGGGGCAGCCAUUAGUCCCCCCACCUGUCCCUCCCUGCAGAUAAUACCAUGGGACCCUGCUUAACCAUCUCUACAAGAGAAGAGUGGGAAACGGAGCUGCAAACAUGAAGGGGAAACAGAAAACAGAGAUGGAGGAACUUGCUCAGAGUUACGGAUUACUAUUACGACAACACACGCGUGAAUCAAAGCGGCAAGUUCCCCAAAGGCCUCACACCCAAAGACGUGGCUGGAGUGCUGGGAGAUAUAGUGGGCCUGGCAUUCGGGCCUGGUUUUUACAUUUCCCAGAAUAAAAGCCCAUCACAACGAAA